UCCGUAGGUGAACCUGCGGAAGGAUCAUUGUCGAAGCUUGCCUAGCAAACCAACGCGAACAAGUUAACAAACUGCGGGUUGCGGACGGAACGAGGGACACCUCUAACGUUAGCGCUUGCACCCAACUAAAACUCUCGGCGCGGGAUGCGCCAAGGAUUACUGAAAACAGAUUACUUGCACCUCUGCGGCUUCCGUGGUGUGUGAAAAGUGUCUGAUGGCUUAACAAAAAUGACUCUCGGCAACGGAUAUCUCGGCUCUCGUAUCGAUAAAAAACGUAGCGAAAUACGAUACUUGGUGUGAAUUGCAGAAUCCCGUGAACCAUCGAGUUUUUGAACGCAAGUUGCGCCUGAGGCCGUUAGGCUAAGGGCACGUCUGCCUGGAAGUUGGACAUGCAGUGGUCACCUCUUUCCGCACCUGUGUGGAUAUGAAUGACGGAUGUUGGCCUCUCGUGUCAUCUCAGUGCGRCUGGCCAAAAUGUGAGUUCUUGGUGCGAUCUUUCACGACAAGUGGUGGUUGAACAUGUCAAAUCAUGUGCUGUCGAAAGGAUUGCCCGAUGCGAAUCUCAAUGACCCACACGGGUGUCAAGGGCCUUCGACMCCAGGUCAGGCGGGAUUACCCGCUGAGUUAAAGCMUAUCAAUUAGCGGAR
rnacentral:rRNA from 1 species